rnacentral:lncRNA from 9 species
CCCCUCGAAAGCUGGUGAGGACACACAGCGGGGACAGCGUUGGGGGAGGGGACGGGACUUGAGCCCAUGCCUUGCACCUGAGAGCCAAUCCACUCCCCCGCACCACCCCCCAGGCUGGAACCAUCAUCAGAGGUUUGUUCUCCAUAAAGAGAACCUCUGGCCAUUUGUCGCUCUGGCCAUCAGCCUGUGAAUUCAAAUCUGAAAGUUAAAUCACAGCCAAUUGUCACUGUGGCUGUUGCCAAGGCUUGAGAGCUGCACGCGGGGACUGUUUCGGGAAAUGACUCACCAGGAAAAAUAUUUUCUGCUCAUCUGAGGGUUUUGCCGCAGGGGAUUAAGCACAUGCACUUGAAACGCACAUUCAGGGUGUUGGUGUAAAGUCUGACCUUUCCCAGCGACGCAGUUUCCAGAGCCUGGUCUUCUGGCCCCGGGGCUAACUUCCUGGUCAGCGCUCCGUGCCAGCCUCCCACGCCAGCACCUGCCGCCUGGCUAUGUGCUGGAAAACAGAAGCGCUGUGGCGGGGCAGUGGUGUUCUCCGAAAACGCGUGCCCACUUGGAAGCUGUGAUGGAAUUCGGGUCUUUGAGGCUGGGGUUGGUGGGGAUCCUGAGAUGCCGUCCAGGGGAGUCGCCAAUCCCGGGACGGAGUGUCCUGAGAAGGGACGGAUGGGAAGACAGGCCCCCGGAGGCCCCUGUGAGGAUGGAGGUAGAGUUGGGGGUGAGGUGGCCACAAGCCAAGGAAGCCUGGAGCCCCCCCACGUGGGACCCGGCAGGAAGGGUCCUCCCCCAGAGCCCAGAGACAAGCGCUUCUCUGAUUGGCUGACGGCAACUUCUUCCGCCCCGCCUGCCUUGUGGAUCAGAAGCAUCUCCGGUGAUGCAGCCGGAACGGGACACUGCAGGGACAACCUCAAGGCAGGUUGGAUAAGACCCGGCCCCACAGACAGAGUGCGUCUCUCAAAAUUGCGUUGUCUCAUCUGGGGAGUUUCAUUGUCUGGCUGUGUCCGGCAGGCCCCGAAGGCGUCCGUGGGUGGAGCCACCUCACCUGCUGAGCCCCGUCGGAGGACGCGUCUCCAUCCAGUUUUGCUUGGUCUCCUCUUGAGCCUGGGGGCUCCCCACCCAGAUCAGCAGACGAUGCCAGGAAGCGAGGGCCACGCCCUGGAGACCAGCCCUCGGCUGAAGUGGUUCCUGGCCCCCUCCUCCCUGGCGGACCUGUCCGCUCCGUCACCCUGGACCCAGAUGCCCUUCAGACCCGCACUGCGUGUCAACACAUCUCCAGCCCUCAGGGGUCCCGCGGGGCCUCAGAGACCCUCCAGCCCCCGCCGAGCCGACACAGGCGAGGUGCUCAGGGAGCCUCUCCUGGGGGCAUGGGCACGCCCUGUGCUGUCGGGUGACGCCCGGGCCCCUGCCCGUAUCCUCCGCCUUUAAGAAAGAGACACGAAGGGCAAAAAGUGGGCCCGCUGCUCAGAGGCCGGGAACAGGCUUCAGGCCAGGCGGUGGGCUCUCUCCAUUCCGGCCCACCCCUGCCGGGCCCGGCCCCGCCCGUCACCCCACAGCAGACCUCACCCACCUGUCCCCUUUCGUGACCCUGCUGUCGAGUGAGAGGUGGUCUCUUCACUGUGCAUCUCUUCACGGCUUUGUCUCUCGCAC